GACGAACGCUGGCGGCGUGCUUAACACAUGCAAGUCGAACGGAAAGGCCCUGCUUUUGUGGGGUGCUCGAGUGGCGAACGGGUGAGUAACACGUGAGUAACCUGCCCUUGACUUUGGGAUAACUUCAGGAAACUGGGGCUAAUACCGGAUAGGAGCUCCUGCUGCAUGGUGGGGGUUGGAAAGUUUCGGCGGUUGGGGAUGGACUCGCGGCUUAUCAGCUUGUUGGUGGGGUAGUGGCUUACCAAGGCUUUGACGGGUAGCCGGCCUGAGAGGGUGGCCGGGCCCACUGGGAAUGGGGUACGGGCCCGAAUCCCUCGGGAGGGAGGAGGGGGGAAUAUUGCACAAUGGGGGGGAAGCCUAUGCAGGGAACCCGCGUGGGGGGAGAAGGGCCUUGGGGUGUAAACCCCUUUUCGCCUGGAAGAAAGGGUAGUGACGGGAAAUGGGGAAAAAACCACCGGCAAAUAAGGG
rnacentral:rRNA from 1 species